rnacentral:rRNA from 1 species
ACGGGUGAGUAACACGUGAGUAACCUGCCCCUGACUUCGGGAUAACCUCGAGAAAUCGUGGCUAAUACCGGAUAUGACACGCGUUCGCAUGGGUGUGUGUGGAAAGAUUUAUCGGUUGGGGAUGGGCUCGCGGCCUAUCAGCUUGUUGGUGGGGUGAUGGCCUACCAAGGCGACGACGGGUAGCCGGCCUGAGAGGGUGACCGGCCACACUGGGACUGAGACACGGCCCAGACUCCUACGGGAGGCAGCAGUGGGGAAUAUUGCACAAUGGGCGCAAGCCUGAUGCAGCGACGCCGCGUGAGGGAUGACGGCCUUCGGGUUGUAAACCUCUUUCAGUAGGGAAGAAGCUCCUCGGAGUGACGGUACCUGCAGAACAAGCGCCGGCUAACUACGUGCCACCAACCGCGGUAAUAC